CCGGGUAAAAAUGGCUUUUGGGGGAAAGAAAUCAGUAGAAAAACGAGUGGGAGCUGAAGUGAUGAAAUAGCUAUUUUCACAGUACACUGAACUCGAACAAAGCCAAAAACGCUUAACGACAUGCUGAGUGAUGUGGGAAAGCCCA
ensembl:ncRNA R08B4.11 ncRNA